GAAAAGAAACCAACAGGGAUUGCCCCAGUAACGGCGAGUGAAGCGGCAACAGCUCAAAUUUGAAAUCUGGUCCCCAGGGCCCGAGUUGUAAUUUGCAGAGGAUGCUUUUGGUGAGGUGCCUUCCGAGUUCCCUGGAACGGGACGCCAUAGAGGGUGAGAGCCCCGUCUGGUUGGAUACCGAGCCUCUGUAAAGCUCCUUCGACGAGUCGAGUAGUUUGGGAAUGCUGCUCUAAAUGGGAGGUAUAUGUCUUCUAAAGCUAAAUAUUGGCCAGAGACCGAUAGCGCACAAGUAGAGUGAUCGAAAGAUGAAAAGCACUUUGAAAAGAGGGUUAAAUAGUACGUGAAAUUGUUGAAAGGGAAGCACUUAUGACCAGACUUGGCCCCGGUGAAUCAUCCAGCGGUUCCCGCUGGUGCACUUUGCCGGGGUUCAGGCCAGCAUCAGUUCGCUCCGGGGGAUAAAGGCUUUGGGAAUGUGGCUCCCUCGGGAGUGUUAUAGCCCAUUGCGUAAUACCUUGUGGCGGGCUGAGGUUCGCGCUUUAUGCAAGGAUGCUGGCAUAAUGGUCAUCAGUGACCCGUCUUGAAACACGGACCAAGGAGUCGUCUUCGUAUGCGAGUGUUCGGGUGUUAAACCCCUACGCGUAAUGAAAGUGAACGCAGGUGAGAGCCCUCCAGGGCGCAUCAUCGACCGAUCCUGAUGUUCUCGGAUGGAUUUGAGUAAGAGCAUACGGGGCCGGACCCGAAAGAAGGUGAACUAUGCCUGUAUAGGGUGAAGCCAGAGGAAACUCUGGUGGAGGCUCGCAGCGGUUCUGACGUGCAAAUCGAUCGUCAAAUAUGGGCAUGGGGGCGAAAGACUAAUC
rnacentral:rRNA from 1 species